rnacentral:sRNA from 1 species
GAGCAGGCCUGGGCGGUGGGGUGAUGUGCCUGUCCGUUACAACAUCUCCUUCCUGCCUGCAGCAGGUCAAUGGCCAGCAAGGAGGGGGGUCCGAGCCGGCGGCGGCGGCAGUGGUGGCAGCGGGAGACAAAUGGAAACCUCCACAGGGCACAGACUCCAUCAAGAUGGAGAACGGGCAGAGCACAGCCGCCAAGCUGGGGCUGCCGCCCCUGACGCCCGAGCAGCAGGAGGCCCUUCAGAAGGCCAAGAAGUACGCCAUGGAGCAGAGCAUCAAGAGCGUGCUGGUGAAGCAGACCAUCGCGCACCAGCAGCAGCAGCUCACCAAUCUGCAGAUGGCAGCAGUGACAAUGGGCUUUGGAGAUCCUCUCUCACCUUUGCAAUCGAUGGCGGCUCAGCGGCAGCGGGCGCUGGCCAUCAUGUGCCGUGUCUACGUGGGCUCUAUCUACUACGAGCUGGGGGAGGACACCAUCCGCCAGGCCUUUGCACCCUUUGGCCCCAUCAAGAGCAUCGACAUGUCCUGGGAUUCCGUCACCAUGAAGCACAAG